rnacentral:lncRNA from 1 species
GACGAGGGGGGCGUGGUCACGUGAGCGCGCACGCGCGGGAGCAGCGCGCGUUUACGGCACGGCGGUCCCAGCGGUGGUCCCGUGGUUGCGCUACCCGGUGGUGAUCCUGGGGUCCGAAGCGGCAGGAGAGCUUGCGGGUCUGGUGCGCAGCGGCCGCGGCCUUCCUCUAGGUGAAUCCUCGGCCCGAGGGACUUUCCACCGGCGCAGGCGCGGAGCCUGAUCUCGCUCCUCGCCGCGGUGCAGGAGCACCGACCUGGGGGCGGGCCCGUCGCGGGUGAGAGGGGCGCGCAGCCCUAGCCCGCAGGUGUCGCCUGGGUCGGGGACAAGACCUUUGAUUCCCGCGACCCACGGGAAGGGACGCCCCGGGACGCUGGCGCCAAGCCGGGCACCAAGGCUCUGCAGCUGUGAAGCGGCCCGAACUGCCCCGUCUGCGGACGGUCUGCGCCUUCGUUUGGAAUUGCAGUUGGCGCCACGUAUGAUGCCGGGCAAGAGCUCUACCAUGAGCCACGUCAAGAUGUGACCACCCCCAGGAACUUGGGGAGAGGGGACACCCAGGGUCUGCCCCUGCUUGCCUGCUCCCUGUCUCAGCAGUCUUUUGGGCUAAAGUACAGCCCAGGUCCACCUGCUCUCCCCGCGUGGCUGUCCGGCCUGGGGCUCUUCUGGGGCACUGAGCAGCCUUCUCCUCCGUCCUUUCGUAGUAAUGAAGCCCGGGGUCUGUUCUGCACGCGGCCCAGGACGAGGGAGAUUUUAAAAACAUAAAGAGGGGCUGGGUUGCGGCUCAGCGGUAGAGCGCUCGCCUAGCACACGUGAGGCCCCGGGUUCGAUCCUCAGCACCACAUACAAAUGAAUAAGUAGAAUAAAGGUGUUAAAAAACUCCUUCCUUAAAAAAAAACAAAAACAAAAAAAACAUAAAUAUGAAGGGGCAUCCCUUCCCAGUGGUUUCAGAGGGCUUUUGCUUGAGCCUGGAAAUUCAGGAUUAUGAAGGCCUUGCGUUUGGUCCCGCGCCGGGCCUCGCUCCGCCUCUCUCCUGCCUUCAGCCGCACAGGUCUCCCCAUCCCUGUGUACCCCAAACUCACCGCGCCUGCGCAUCUCUGCGUUUGCUGACCUCUCUGCCUGGGUCUCAUCCACGUUGAGCCCCAGCUGGCCCUUUUUAGGCCCAUCCUUCCACCUGCGGACCCAACAUGGCCUGCCAGCUAAGAAUGUGAUAUUGGACAGGUUAGGGAAAGGCAACGGAAGAGUGAGGCUUCACGAAAUCAAAGCUUGUAUGAACUUUAAAUCUCAGUGUUCGUAAGUAAAGUUUUAUUUGAAAAUCGCCACACUUAUUUCUAUGGUACCUGUGGUUGCUUUUGAGCUUCACAGCAGAGCUAAGGCCUGGUACCUUUUUCUUGGCACCUGGGGUUGAGCCCAGGGGUGCUUUACCACUGAGCCACAUCCUCAACCCCUCUUUUUUCAAUUUAAGACAGUCUCACCAGGUUGCUUAGGGCCUGGCCAGGUUGCUGAGACUAUCUUCAAAUUGUGGUCUUCCUGCCUCAGUUUCCUGAGUCCCUAGCAUUAAAGGUGUGCCACUGCCACCAGCCUUUUACCAUAUUUUAAAUUUAGGUCUUGACAGAAAAACUGCCAAUCUCUCGUCCAGGGCACUAGCUGUAUCUGGGAGGCCUCACGCCCACCUCUGCCAUGGUCUCCCACAGCUUUGCCUCCCCGGCUUCCGCAGCAGCCACGCUUUUUCUGCGUUGGCUCUGGAGGAUGUGUGCAGUGCGUGCCCGUGCACGGUUUGUUGAAAGUUUUUACUGAUAUUUUCCAUCACUUUCUUAAGUCUUGGCAGCCAUCGAUAAAAUAAAUUGAGCCCUGGUGUGUAAUGUUUG